rnacentral:rRNA from 1 species
CCUACGGGAGGCAGCAGUGAGGAAUAUUGGUCAAUGGACGCAAGUCUGAACCAGCCAUGCCGCGUGAAGGAAGAAGGCUUUCGGGUUGUAAACUUCUUUUCUCAGGGACGAAGCAAGUGACGGUACCUGAGGAAUAAGCCACGGCUAACGACGUGCCAGCAGCCGCGGUAAUACGUAGGUGGCAAGCGUUAUCCGGAUUUACUGGGUGUAAAGGUCGUGUAGGCGGGACUGCAAGUCAGAUGUGAAAACCAUGGGCUCAACCUAUGGCCUGCAUUUGAAACUGUAGUUCUUGAGUACUGGAGAGGCAGACGGAAUUCCUAGUGUAGCGGUGAAAUGCGUAGAUAGUAGGAGGAACACCAGUGGCGAAGGCGGUCUGCUGGACAGCAACUGACGCUGAGGCGCGAAAGCGUGGGGAGCAAACAGGAUUAGAUACCCUAGUAGUC